AGUGAACGCUGGCGGUAGGCCUAACACAUGCAAGUCGAACGGCAGCACAGGAGAGCUUGCUCUCUGGGUGGCGAGUGGCGGACGGGUGAGGAAUACAUCGGAAUCUACUCUGUCGUGGGGGAUAACGUAGGGAAACUUACGCUAAAGCCGCAUACGACCUACGGGUGAAAGCAGGGGACCUUCGGGCCUUGCGCGAUUGAAUGAGCCGAUGUCGGAUUAGCUAGUUGGCGGGGUAAAGGCCCACCAAGGCGACGAUCCGUAGCUGGUCUGAGAGGAUGAUCAGCCACACUGGAACUGAGACACGGUCCAGACUCCUACGGGAGGCAGCAGUGGGGAAUAUUGGACAAUGGGCGCAAGCCUGAUCCAGCCAUACCGCGUGGGUGAAGAAGGCCUUCGGGUUGUAAAGCCCUUUUGUUGGGAAAGAAAUCCAGCUGGCUAAUACCCGGUUGGGAUGACGGUACCCAAAGAAUAAGCACCGGCUAACUUCGUGCCAGCAGCCGCCGUAA
rnacentral:rRNA from 1 species